CUAACUCUGGAUAACAUCUGCCUAUCGCACGGUCUAGUACCGGCUGAAGUUUCUUACAAGUAUCUGCCCUAUCAACUAUCGUUGGUGAUGUAGUGGACCACCAUGGUAGUAACGGGUAACGGAGAAUCAGGGUUCGACUCCGGAGAGGGAGCCUUAGAAACGGCUACCAUGUCUAAGGAUAGCAGCAGGCACGAAAAUUACCCAAUACCAACUCGGUGAGGUAGUGACGAGAAAUAACGAGACUGUUCUCUCUGAGGUCGGUCAUCGGAAUGGCAAAAAUCCAGACACUUUAUGGAGUAUCUACGAGUGGGCAAGUCUGGUGCCAGCAGCCGCGGUAAUUCCAGCACUCGUAAGGUAUAGAAUUAGUGUUGCGUUUAAAAAGUUCGUAGUUGGAUUGUCAGACUGGAACGGGUCCGGACUUUGGUUCGGUACUCGUUUCCAGUUUUUUGUUCGUGUACGUGCGGCUGCCUUCGGGUGGACGUUGCGUUGCGAGCAGGAUUACUUUGAACGGCUUAAGUGCUCAAUGCGAGACUUAUGUCCGAAUACCGGUGCAUGGAAUAAUGGAACAAGGUUGCGGCCGAGUUUUUUUGGUUUUGUCGGCUGAGACAAUGGUUAACAGGAACAGCCGGGGGCAUUCGUAUCGCGGCGCGAGAGGUGAAAUUCGUGGACCGUCGCGAGACGACCUAAAGCGAAGGCAUUUGCCAAGAGUGUUUUCAUUAAUCAAGAACGAAAGUCAGAGGUUCGAAGGCGAUUAGAUACCGCCCUACUUCC
rnacentral:rRNA from 1 species